GAAUGCAAGCUCGAACGAUGAUGCCCACUUGUGGGUGGAUUAGUGGCGAACGGGUGAGUAACACGUGAGUAACCUGCCCUUGACUCUGGGAUAAGCCUGGGAAACUGGCGUCUAAUACCGGAUAUGACCUUCAAUCGCAUGGUGGUUGGUGGAAAGCUUUUGUGGUUUUGGAUGGACUCGCGGCCUAUCAGCUUGUUGGUGGGGUAAUGGCCUACCAAGGCGACGACGGGUAGCCGGCCUGAGAGGGUGACCGGCCACACUGGGACUGAAACACGGCCCAGACUCCUACGGGAGGCAGCAGUGGGGAAUAUUGCACAAUGGGCGCAAGCCUGAUGCAGCGACGCCGCGUGAGGGAUGACGGCCUUCGGGUUGUAAACCUCUUUCAGUAGGGAAGAAGCGAAAGUGACGGUACCUGCAGAAGAAGCGCCGGCUAACUACGUGCCAGCAGCCGCGGUAAUACGUAGGGCGCAAGCGUUAUCCGGAAUUAUUGGGCGUAAAGAGCUCGUAGGCGGUUUGUCGCGUCUGCCGUGAAAGUCCGGGGCUCAACUCCGGAUCUGCGGUGGGUACGGGCAGACUAGAGUGAUGUAGGGGAGACUGGAAUUCCUGGUGUAGCGGUGAAAUGCGCAGAUAUCAGGAGGAACACCGAUGGCGAAGGCAGGUCUCUGGGCAUUAACUGACGCUGAGGAGCGAAAGCAUGGGGAGCGAACAGGAUUAGAUACCCUGGUAGUCCAUGCCGUAAACGUUGGGCACUAGGUGUGGGGGACAUUCCACGUUUUCCGCGCCGUAGCUAACGCAUUAAGUGCCCCGCCUGGGGAGUACGGCCGCAAGGCUAAAACUCAAAGGAAUUGACGGGGGCCCGCACAAGCGGCGGAGCAUGCGGAUUAAUUCGAUGCAACGCGAAGAACCUUACCAGGCUUGACAUGAACCGGUAAGACCUGGAACAGGUCCCCGCUUGCGUCGGUUACAGGUGGUGCAUGGUGUCGUCAGCUCGU
rnacentral:rRNA from 1 species